CCAACAGGGAUUGCCUCAGUAACGGCGAGUGAAGCGGCAACAGCUCAAAUUUGAAAUCUGGCCUAGCCCGAGUUGUAAUUUGCAGAGGAUGCUUCGGACGCGGCGCCUUCCAAGUCCCCUGGAACGGGGCGCCUUAGAGGGUGAGAGCCCCGUACGGUUGGAUGCCAAGUCUGUGUGAAGCUCCUUCGACGAGUCGAGUAGUUUGGGAAUGCUGCUCAAAAUGGGAGGUAGACCCCUUCUAAAGCUAAAUACCGGCCAGAGACCGAUAGCGCACAAGUAGAGUGAUCGAAAGAUGAAAAGCACUUUGAAAAGAGGGUUAAACAGCACGUGAAAUUGUUGAAAGGGAAGCGCUCGUGGUCAGACUUGCGCCGGGGUGAUCAUCUGGGGUUCUCCCCAGUGCACUCUCCCCGGCACAGGCCCGCGUCGGUUCUCGUGGGGGGAUAAAGGCAGCAGGAAUGUGACUCUUCGGAGUGUUAUAGCCUGUCGCGUCAUGCUCCCGUGGGGACCGAGGUCUACGCUCUGCAAGGACGCGGGCAUAAUGGCCACCGGCGACCCGUCUUGAAACACGGACCAAGGAGUCAAGGUUAUACGCGAGUGUUUGGGUGUCAAACCCGCACGCGUAAUGAAAGUGAACGUAGGUGGGAGCUUCGGCGCACCACCGACCGAUCCUGAUGUUCUCGGAUGGAUUUGAGUAGGAGCGUACAGCCUUGGACCCGAAAGAUGAUGAACUAUGCUUGGAUAGGGUGAAGCCAGAGGAAACUCUGGUGGAGGCUCGCAGCGGUUCUGACGUGCAAAUCGAUCGUCAAAUCUGAGCAUGGGGGCGAAAGACUAAUCGAAUCAU
rnacentral:rRNA from 1 species